GACGAACGCUGGCGGCGUGCUUAACACAUGCAAGUCGAACGCUGAAGCUCAGCUUUUGUUGGGUGAAUGAGUGGCGAACGGGUGAGUAACACGUGAGUAACCUGCCCCCUUCUUUGGGAUAACGCCCGGAAACGGGUGCUAAUACUGGAUAUUCACUGGUCUUCGCAUGGGGGUUGGUGGAAAGGGUUUUUCUGGUGGGGGAUGGGCUCGCGGCCUAUCAGCUUGUUGGUGGGGUGAUGGCCUACCAAGGCUUUGACGGGUAGCCGGCCUGAGAGGGUGACCGGUCACAUUGGGACUGAGAUACGGCCCAGACUCCUACGGGAGGCAGCAGUGGGGAAUAUUGCACAAUGGGCGCAAGCCUGAUGCAGCGACGCCGCGUGAGGGAUGGAGGCCUUCGGGUUGUGAACCUCUUUCGCUCAUGGUCAAGCCGCAACAAUGGUUGUGGUGAGGGUAGUGGGUAAAGAAGCGCCGGCUAACUACGUG
rnacentral:rRNA from 1 species